GUUGGUGAGGUAAUGGCUUACCAAGGCUAUGACGGGUAGCUGGUCUGAGAGGAUGAUCAGCCACAAUGGGACUGAGACACGGCCCAUACUCCUACGGGAGGCAGCAGUAGGGAAUCUUCCGCAAUGGGCGAAAGCCUGACGGAGCAAUACCGCGUGGACGAUGAAGGUCGAAAGAUUGUAAAGUCCUUUUCUGAAGGAAGAAUUCUGACGGUACUUUAGGAAUAAGCACCGGCUAACUCCGUGCCAGCAGCCGCGGUAAUACGGAGGGUGCAAGCGUUACCCGGAAUUAUUGGGCGUAAAGCGUCCGAAGGUGGAAAAUCAAGUUGAAUGUCAAAUUUUGAAGCUCAACUUCAAGCAGGUGUUCAAAACUAGUUUUCUGGAGUUUUAUUGAGGCACGUGGAAUUCUGUGUGUAGGGGUUAAAUCCGUAGAUACACAGAGGAACACCAAAAGCGAAGGCAGCGUGCUAAAUAACAACUGACACUCAUGGACGAAAGCGUAGGUAGCGAACGGGAUUAGAUACCCCGGUAGUCUACGCCCUAAACUAUGGAUACUCGUUAUUGGAGGUCUCAACCCCUUCAGUGACUAAGCAAACGCGUUAAGUAUCCCGCCUGAGAAGUACGGUCGCAAGAUUAAAACUCAAAGGAAUUGACGG
rnacentral:rRNA from 1 species